UGAAAUCUGGCCCUCGGGUCCGAGUUGUAAUUUGUAGAGGAUGCUUUUGGUGCGGUACCUUCCGAGUUCCCUGGAACGGGACGCCAUAGAGGGUGAGAGCCCCGUCUGGUUGGAUGCCAAUCCUCUGUAAAGCUCCUUCGACGAGUCGAGUAGUUUGGGAAUGCUGCUCUAAAUGGGAGGUAUAUGUCUUCUAAAGCUAAAUACCGGCCAGAGACCGAUAGCGCACAAGUAGAGUGAUCGAAAGAUGAAAAGCACUUUGAAAAGAGAGUUAAAAAGUACGUGAAAUUGUUGAAAGGGAAGCGCUUAUGACCAGACUUGGGCUUGGUUGAUCAUCCUGGGUUCUCCCUGGUGCACUCUUCCAGUUCAGGCCAGCAUCAGUUUGCUUCGGGGGAUAAAGGUUUCGGGAAUGUGGCUCCCUCGGGAGUGUUAUAGCCCGUUUCGUAAUACCCUGGGACAGACUGAGGUUCGCGCAUCUGCAAGGAU
rnacentral:rRNA from 1 species